rnacentral:rRNA from 1 species
UACGAAGGGGCCUAGCGUUGUUCGGAAUUACUGGGCGUAAAGCGCACGUAGGCGGAUUUGUUAGUCAGGGGUGAAAUCCCGGGGCUCAACCUCGGAACUGCCUUUGAUACUGCAAGUCUCGAGUCCGAUAGAGGUGGGUGGAAUUCCUAGUGUAGAGGUGAAAUUCGUAGAUAUUAGGAAGAACACCGGUGGCGAAGGCGGCCCACUGGAUCGGUACUGACGCUGAGGUGCGAAAGCGUGGGGAGCAAACAGG